rnacentral:lncRNA from 1 species
CCGCCAUGGAAGAAAAGAAGAAGGGUCAUCUUUCAUUUCUUCAAUUUAAGAGAGGCACAUUAUUUGCUUGGAAAGAAGCAGCCGCCACACGCAUAAGAGGAGAUUGGAUUUUCAGUUCAUUUUUCAUGGAGGGUUAUGGCUAGUUAGAGGGCACAAAGUUGAUUUCUUUUUUUUUUUUUUUUUUAUUUAAGGUGCAACACAUUUUCAAUUGUUUGUUUCCUUCGAGCAGCUACACGCUCAUGCCAGCAUCAGAGAUUUCAUACUUCAUUUGCCAAGUGUUUCUUUAUUAUCUGCUGCAUUUUAAUUAGUUCACACAUUAUACUUAAGGACUAUUCGACUUUUACUAUUUUCCACAUUUACUUCAAUGCUUUCAAUUUUGUUUAGUUAUGUUUAAUUUCAUGUUUUAAUUUAAUUCCUUUCAUACACAAAAACACUUCCAAACACCCCCCGC